rnacentral:rRNA from 1 species
GAUGAACGCUGGCGGAAUGCUUUACACAUGCAAGUCGAACGGCAGCACGGACUUCGGUCUGGUGGCGAGUGGCGAACGGGUGAGUAAUGUAUCGGAACGUGCCCAGUCGUGGGGGAUAACGUAGUGAAAAUUACGCUAAUACCGCAUACGAUCUAUGGAUGAAAGCGGGGGAUCGCAAGACCUCGCGCGAUUGGAGCGGCCGAUAUCAGAUUAGGUAGUUGGUGGGGUAAAGGCCCACCAAGCCAACGAUCUGUAGCUGGCCUGAGAGGACGACCAGCCACACUGGAACUGAGACACGGUCCAGACUCCUACGGGAGGCAGCAGUGGGGAAUUUUGGACAAUGGGCGAAAGCCUGAUCCAGCCAUUCCGCGUGCAGGAUGAAGGCCCUCGGGUUGUAAACUGCUUUUGUACAGAACGAAAAGGUUUCUACUAAUACUAGGAGCUCAUGACGGUACUGUAAGAAUAAGCACCGGCUAACUACGUGCCAGCAGCCGCCGUAA